rnacentral:rRNA from 1 species
AGUGAACGCUGGCGGUAGGCCUAACACAUGCAAGUCGAACGGCAGCACAGUAAGAGCUUGCUCUUACGGGUGGCGAGUGGCGGACGGGUGAGGAAUACAUCGGAAUCUACUUUUUCGUGGGGGAUAACGUAGGGAAACUUACUCUAAUACCGCAUACGACCUACGGGUGAAAGCAGGGGAUCUUCGUACCUUGCGCGAUUGAAUGAGCCGAUGUCGGAUUAGCUAGUUGGCGGGGUAAAGGCCCACCAAGGCGACGAUCCGUAGCUGGUCUGAGAGGAUGAUCAGCCACACUGGAAAUGAGACACGGUCCAGACUCCUACGGGAGGGAGCAGUGGGGAAUAUUGGAAAAUGGGGGCAAGACUGAUCCAGCAAUACCGCGUGGGUGAAGAAGGCAUUCGGGUUGUAAAGCCCUUUUGUUGGGAAAGAAAAGCAGCAGGUUAAUACCCCGCUGUUCUGACGGUACCCAAAGAAUAAGCACCGGCUAACUUCGUG